rnacentral:rRNA from 1 species
UGCCAGACUCCUACGGGAGGCAGCAGUGGGGGAUAUUGCACAAUGGGGGGAACCCUGAUGCAGCGACGCCGCGUGGGUGAAGGAGUGCUUCGGCAUGUAAAGCCCUAUCGGCAGGGAAGAAGCAAGACGGUACCUGACUAAGAAGCCCCGGCUAACUACGUGCCAGCAGCCGCGGUAAUACGUAUGGGGCAAGCGUUAUCCGGAUUUACUGGGUGUAAAGGGAGCGCAGGCGGCCUGCCAAGUCUGGUGUGAAAACCCGGGGCCCAACCCCGGGCCUGCAUUGGAAACUGGCGGGCUGGAGUGUCGGAGGGGCAGGCGGAAUUCCUAGUGGAGCGGUGAAAUGCGUAGAUAUUAGGAGGAACACCGGUGGCGAAGGCGGCCUGCUGGACGAUGACUGACGCUGAGGCUCGAAAGCGUGGGGAGCAAACAGGAUUAGAUACCCUGGUAAA